UACGAAGGGGGCUAGCGUUGUUCGGAAUCACUGGGCGUGAAGCGCACGUAGGCGGAUCUUUAAGUCAGGGGUGAAAUCCCGAGGCUCAACCUCGGAACUGCCUUUGAUACUGGGGAUCUCGAGUCCGGGAGAGGUGAGUGGAACUGCGAGUGUAGAGGUGAAAAUUCGUAGAUAUUCGCAAGAACACCAGUGGCGAAGGCGGACUCACUGGCCCGGA
rnacentral:rRNA from 1 species